rnacentral:lncRNA from 1 species
CACAGAGAUUACAUUAAAACAAGCUCAAGGUGGUAGGUUGGGGGACAGCUAGGCGGAUGGCCAGAGACAGAGAGGACCUGGCUGCAUGAACAGGUGAGGAGGAGGAGAGCUGAGAUCCAGUGCGCAUCUCCAGGCAGCAGGAUCCGUGGGGCUGCUGUGCUCCUUGAGCAUAGGACUGAGACCUAGUCACAGGAGGAUCUCUUUGCAGGGUGAUGAGGUGUCCAGGCUGCAGGGCUCCAGGAGCACUCUGGUCUGUCUGAGGGCUGACGUCCCUUCUUCAUGGCCGGUCCUGCAAGACCAGCAUCAGCCCCGAGUGUGCACCAAAGACGGUCUGUGAGGUGGGGACCCUGGGGCAUGCUACUCGGACGCCCCCUCGGAGAUGUCAGCUAUGCACCCUCAACGACUCCGUGGCAAUUAUGUCAUUGUCACCACCACCACCGUCGUGUGGUUAGAGACACCUCUCCCAGGCCCGGGCACAAUUCAGGUCUCUGUCUUCCACCCUCUGCCCUUACCAGCAAACCGAGGACCCGACGGUUUCCGCCAGGUGGCGCUGCGGAGCACAGCCCCAGCUGCCCAGCCCGGAGCAGACUCGGGGAAGUGUCCUGACCUGUCACCUGUGGGCCCGGUGACCCCGGGCAGGUGACUCUCAGUGCUCCCAUCUGCACAGUGGGUGCAAGAAGCAUGCCUGGGUCAGCUCAUUUAAGUGUGGAGUGGGAUGGGGUUGGGGGGAUGAGGGUCCCAGAGGGUGGG